rnacentral:rRNA from 1 species
GAGUUGAUCCUGGCUCAGAUUGAACGCUGGCGGCAGGCCUAACACAUGCAAGUCGAACGGUAACAGAAAGCAGCUUGCUGCUUUGCUGACGAGUGGCGGACGGGUGAGUAAUGUCUGGGAAACUGCCUGAUGGAGGGGGAUAACUACUGGAAACGGUAGCUAAUACCGCAUAACGUCGCAAGACCAAAGAGGGGGACCUUCGGGCCUCUUGCCAUCGGAUGUGCCCAGAUGGGAUUAGCUUGUUGGUGGGGUAACGGCUCACCAAGGCGACGAUCUCUAGCUGGUCUGAGAGGAUGACCAGCCACACUGGAACUGAGACACGGUCCAGACUCCUACGGGAGGCAGCAGUGGGGAAUAUUGCACAAUGGGCGCAAGCCUGAUGCAGCCAUGCCGCGUGUAUGAAGAAGGCCUUCGGGUUGUAAAGUACUUUCAGCGGGGAGGAAGGGAGUAAAGUUAAUACCUUUGCUCAUUGACGUUACCCGCAGAAGAA